rnacentral:rRNA from 1 species
UAUUCCUACGGGACGCAGCAGUAGGGAAUUUUCGUCAAUGGGCGCAAGCCUGAACGAGCGAUGCCGCGUGAGCGAAGAAGGCCGUCGGGUCGUAAAGUUCUGUUGCGGGGGAAAAAAGGCAGCAUCAGGAAAUGGGUGCUGACUGAUGGUGCCCCGCCAGAAAGUCACGGCUAACUACGUGCCAGCAGCCGCGGUAAUACGUAGGUGGCGAGCGUUAUCCGGAAUGAUUGGGCGUAAAGGGUGCGCAGGCGAUCCUGCAAGUCUGGAGUGAACCGCAUGAGCUCAACUCAUGCAUGGCUUUGGAA